rnacentral:rRNA from 1 species
GACUACAGGGGUAUCUAAUCCCUUUCGCUCCCCUAGCUUUCGUCCCUCAGUGUCAGUGCAGACCCAGCAAGGCGCCUUCGCCACCGAUGUUCUUCCCAAUAUCUACGCAUUUCACCGCUACACUGGGAAUUCCCCUUGCCCCUAUCGCACUCUAGCCACCCAGUUUCAAUUGCCCUUAUAGAGUUAAGCUCUACGCUUUAACAACUGACUUGGAUAACCACCUACGGACGCUUUACGCCCAAUAAUUCCGGAUAGCGCUUGCCUCCUCCGUAUUACCGCGGCUGCUGGCACGGAGUUAGCCGAGGCUGAUUCGAUAGGUACCGUCAUUGUGUUCUUCCCUAUCAAAAGAGGUUUACAACCAGUAGGCCUUCCUCCCUCACGCGGUCUUGCUCCGUCAGGCUUUCGCCCAUUGCGGAAAAUUCCCCACUGCUGCCUCCCGUAGGAGUCUGGGCCGUGUCUCAGUCCCAGUGUGGCUAGUCGUCCUCUCAGACUAGCUACAGAUCAAAGCCUUGGUAGGCUCUUACCCUACCAACUAGCUAAUCUGUAGCGAGCUCAUCUUCAGGUGAUAAAUCUUUCACCCCGAAGGGCACAUGGGGUAUUAGCAGCGGUUUCCCACUGUUGUCCCCCGCCUGAAGGCAGAUUCUCACGCGUUACUCACCCGUCCG